AAUGAACGCUGGCGGCGCGCCUAAUACAUGCAAGUCGAGCGAGAAGACGUAGCAAUACGUUUGUAAAGCGGCGAACGGGUGAGGAAUACAUGGGUAACCUACCCUCGAGUGGGGAAUAACUAGCCGAAAGGUUAGCUAAUACCGCGUACGCUCCUUGGACUUCGGUUCAGGGAGGAAAGCGAUACCGUGGGUAUCGCGCUCUUGGUUGGGCUCAUGUCCUAUCAGCUUGUUGGNGAGGUAACGGCUCACCAAGGCUUCGACGGGUAGCUGGUCUGAGAGGACGAUCAGCCACACUGGCACUGCGACACGGGCCAGACUCCUACGGGAGGCAGCAGUAAGGAAUAUUGCGCAAUGGGCGAAAGCCUGACGCAGCGACGCCGCGUGGGGGAUGAA
rnacentral:rRNA from 1 species